UACUGAGGGUGCAAGCGUUAAUCGGAAUUACUGGGCGUAAAGCGUGCGUAGGCGGCUUUGUAAGUCGGAUGUGAAAGCCCUGGGCUUAACCUGGGAACUGCAUUCGAUACUGCAAGGCUAGAAUUUAGCAGAGGCUAGUGGAAUUCCAGGUGUAGCGGUGAAAUGCGUAGAGAUCUGGAGGAACAUCAGUGGCGAAGGCGACUAGCUGGGCUAAAAUUGACGCUGAGGUACGAAAGCGUGGGGAGCAAACAGG
rnacentral:rRNA from 1 species